rnacentral:tRNA from 1 species
GGGCUUGUGGCGGAAUUGGCAGACGCGCUGGAUUUAGGUUCCAGUGUCUUCGGACGUGAGAGUUCAAGUCUCUCCAGGCCCACAA